rnacentral:ncRNA from 2 species
UGAAUCCGCGCGGGAGAGUUCCCAGGACACGACAGUCGUCGGAGACGACACUCGUCCCGGGGCGCCGAAGGAGCAAGUUCCUCCCUUGAAUCUCUCAGGCCCCGUACCGCGCGGGCGAG